CAACCGGCAGGUGUUGACAGCACCACCCGGGCCCAGGGGAGCCAGUGACUUCAGCCUCUGGGGGCGGGAAUGAGGUGGGUGGGGUGGAGGGGCUCGAGCCAGCUUGGGGUGUGUUCCAAGCAGCAGGGGAGGGAGAUCAAGCAGAUCCCACUGGGGCACAGGCUCCCAGGAGGAGGGUGAACCAAGCCCAGCUUCCUCCUGGCUGGGCCUGCCCAACCCGCCAGACCAGUGGCUGCUCCCGAGCCUGGGAGGAGUAGAGGGCAGGACUGGAGGGGCUGUGGUGGGCCAGGGCCCAGGGGAAUGUUUGAGGCCUUCUUCCUGGAAAUUAGCUGCGUGGAGAGAGCACAAAAGUUAUCUAGCGAAUGAGCCUAAGAGCUUGUGGGCGUUGGUGCUGGCACUUUCUUCAGGGACUGCUGUGUCCACAGCAAAGGCCCAAACUGCUGAAAGCAGGGUGGGCUGAAGGGAAGGGCUGGGAAAUCGUGACAACCAAAGGAACAGCAGGCCAGGCCGGGAAUGGCCUGGAGGUAGGGAGGGAUGCACUAGGGUGGGACAGGCCUGGCGGAGAUGAGGAAAGGCCAGGAACUGCUCAGUUGGCUCCAAUAUACCAGGAAAACUGGCCAGGCAGGGGACAGAGGGAGAGGGCAAGAAGCUACACUCUGUCUGGCACUGUAGCAGGCAGGUCAGACAGUAAGAUGCAUUUAAAAUGCAGGUCUCGGGAGCUCAGGAGAGAAUGGGAGGAGAAGGGGUACAGGCGGGGCAGAACUGCUGCACAGCCAGUCAGGUUUUCCGGGUGCCAAGCUCUGGAAGGCGCAAGGCCGCCUAGUGCACCUGUCUGGCCUGGGCUCUGGGCUGAGCCUUGCUGCUUCUGCUCCUCUUGACCUGGUCAAAGGGCCCUGCCCUUCUCAGCCCAAGCUUUCCCCGGGACAAAUCAUGGCUCAAGUGAAACUUCAGUUCCUUUCCAGCCUGGCGUUAGGUGGUGUGGUCUAGGGCAGGCUGCUUCCUCCUUUGAGGAUGGCCACUCUGUCCCUUCCACCAGACUCAAGGCUCUGCCCUGCUGCAGCCCCCUCCCCAGAGACAGGCAUGGAGGCUGCACAACAGGACUGAACCUGGUGGCUUCUCAGACACUGCUCCCACAGUCUGAAAAGCUUAGGGUCAGCAUGGGGAGAGGAGCAGGCUUGGGCUGGAGACGGGACCCAGGCAAUCACAUGGACCAGUUCUCCCCGGCAGGCCAGGAACAGGGACAUCCUUAGGGAGGAGAGUGGCCCUGGAGCCAAUCAAUGUGGGAAGGAGAAGAGGAAGGCGGCAGGGACUGGCAGCCAGCCAGGCCUCCUUGUCACCCACAGCAGGAAGGGGGAGGUGAGAAGAGGACUGCAGGACUGAGCUAAGUGGCUCAGAACACCGAAAGCAGGGGGUGUGUGUGCGGUCAAACAUGUGCGUAGGGCCACAGGAUGGGUGGGGCUGCUGGGUCCCCUCUCCAACCGCCUCCCUGGGUGCCUUCCACUCACAGAGACCCACCUGAAGCCUGGCCUCUGCACCCCUGAAAAGCCCCUCCCCACUGGGGAGCAUCCCACUCUGGGGGUGCUCCUCUUCUCACCCUUUCCUCAGAUUUGGGAGGUAGUGGUAUCAUUAAGAAUGCAAGCCCUACAGCCAGACUGCCAGGGUUCAGUUCCUGGCUCUGCAUUUCCUGUGUGUCCUUGGGCAAGUUAUUUAGCCUUGCUGUGCCUCAGUUUUCUCAUCUGCAAAAUGGGAAUAAUCAUAGUUGAUAAAGGUUUAAUGAGCAAUACAAAUACAGCGUACAGCACAGAGCCCAGGACAGGCUGAAACAUGAGUGUUCUCUCCACUUGCCUGACCAGCACAGAACCCCGUCAGCUUCCCAUAGAACUGAGGCCUAAGAGGAUGUCUGCCUCCCACUCUCCCUGCAGGCCAAGGAUGUUUAGGCAGAGAAGGGGUGGUCUCCUAGCUGCCUAGGCCCACCUCCACAGCUCCAGACUGGGGGAAGAGUGUCCAGUCUUCACAAUGAGACAGAGUCUGCAUUCAAGUCCUGCCUCAGCCCCUACGCAGCUGUGUGACCUUGGACACAUAACCCAGUAUGUGUGAGCCUCCACUGCCUCACCUACAAAACAGGUUCAUAAUGAUGCUCACUGCACAGGAGGCCAUGAGGACGAGGUCUGCAGAAUGCCUGGCACCAAGGAACUCCUCUGAAUGGCUGCUGAUUUUGCUGCCUGGUCCAUAGUAGGUGCCCAUCAAUGUCAGUUUCCUUCAUCAGGUCCAGUAGACUGACUCUCACCAUGCCCCUUCACCUGCCCCUCAACUUCCCUUUCCGCCAGGGUCACAAAGUUUGAGGUCAAACUAUGGGGCCCCAGGGUCUCUCCAUUCCAGAACGGAGACACCUCAGCUAUAGGAAGAGCCCCUCCUCCUUCCUCUGGAGCCAUGUUCCCAUCAAUGUGAACCGAACAGAUCCAUUUCUCCUCACUCAGAGUUUGUCAUCAAGAGCAAGCAAAGGGGAAAGAUGGGCUCUGGAAGGAAGGAGAGCUCCAAGAUGCCAAGGCACGGCUACUCUCGGACUCCUCGCCACGCUCAAGUGAAGGGGGGCAGGGAGGGGAACUGGCCAGGAGGGCGACAGGCUGCCCAGCAGGCACCCAGAGCUUUGCGUAAACACUGAGGAGAGGGGGUGGCCAGGGGCAGGGUGCCAGUGGGGGUGGAAUAGGAGACUGGGUGGAGGGAGAGCAAGAGGCUGUUUCAGUCUGUUGGAAAUAAGAAAAUCGAGACAAAAAUAUCACAGCCGUGAAACUGGUUGGAUGCCAAGUGAGCCAGAUCUGUCAGGAAUUCGACCCGGCGCUAAGCCCCAGUGCUCGGGGCUGUCAUUGACACCAUGGCGGUGGGGACAAGUGGGGCUUAAAAUAGCUCAGUGUCUCAGAAGUGGGGGAGGCAGAAUGUUAAAUAUGACGCCUGCUGCCAUCCUGGGCUCCUCUGGAGGCCACAAUGUCUCACCCCCUGCCUCAGGCAGGGCAGGCCAGCCCCAGCUCACUCCUGAGAGAAGGGAGACAAAGGUGGAUGUGGAUGGGAGAAGGAGGGCUUUUUCCACGAUCCCAGAGGAUCCCUUGAUUUCCUGCCAUUGCCUUUUCCACUAGCUCUUGUCUGACCAUGGGAAGUACUUCCUGAAGUCUAACCAUCAUUCUACUACAGCUGCAACCUACCUCUUCUUGUAGUUUGCUUAACAGAGGAAGAGAAGAAUCAGUCCCCACCUACACAAACCACUCUACAGAGACGGUUUGGGCUUCCCACCACUUCACCCUCCUCUCUACACCUGAGGACCUUUCCUGACUGGAUGAAGGCCUGGGGAAUUGGUUUGGCCUUCUGGCUUUGGCACACAGCAGGGGCCCCUACUCCGUGAAGUCAAAGAGACAUGGUAUGCGGAGCUUUGGUAGGCUCCCCACCCACCGCCUGGCUGCUCCCCAGCCCAAGCCCAGGCCUAAAUGGCAAGGCAAGGGCUGCCUUCUUGUGCCAGCGUUAUCAUGAGUCCUGCUGGAGGGCGGGGUCUCCUCAUUUCCCAGAGGCAAAGCUGAGGUACCCUUCCCCCAAGACUUAGCCCGGAGCGGGUGAGGGACCUUGCCUUCCUAUCCUCACCCCAACAGAAAUCAGGAGCCUCAGUGCCCCAGAAGGCCCAGGUCAAAGUCCACUGCUGCACCCUCCAUACAGCUCAGGAUCCCUCCCUCCUGCAGAAACUCACAGGGCAACUGGGAAGCCCAAGAGCAACUGGGAAAGCCAAACUAGGCCAUCCACAGGAGUGUGGGUUCUGAGGCUUUGUUUCUUGAAGGCCUAGUGAGGGCAUGAGGGGGUCCCAUGUCCCAGAACCCCACAUCCCAUAAGACACACAGGGCCCAACUAUCUGCCUU
rnacentral:lncRNA from 1 species